rnacentral:lncRNA from 1 species
CCCUAACCAGGAUAUAGGAUUAUUUCUUAAUCCUAAUCCUAAUUACAAGUGAACUACAUAACAAAACACAUCCUAAGCAAGUUUUCAACCGCGAACGUAGAGUCUUGUUCCGGCGAGCUUUCCGACGAACUUCUUCCGACGGACUCCCAUCAAGCUCCCGAACUUGUGAUGACUUUAACGAGUAGCCGAGCCUUCUCGGUGAUCUCCGUGAACCUCCGAUAAUCUCUUCGGCGAACUUCCGAAAAUUCCGACAGGUU